rnacentral:rRNA from 1 species
CCUACGGGAGGCAGCAGUGGGGAAUAUUGCACAAUGGGGGAAACCCUGAUGCAGCGACGCCGCGUGAGUGAGGAAGUAUUUCGGUAUGUAAAGCUCUAUCAGCAGGGAAGAAAAUGACGGUACCUGCCUAAGAAUCCCCGGCUACCUCCGUUCAAGCAGCCGCGGGCAUACGGCGGAUGCGACCGUCAUCCGGAUUUAUUGGGUUUAAUGGGUGCGCAGGCGGUAGAUUAAGUCAGCGGUAAAAUUGACAGGCUAACCCUCGUUGAGCCGUUGAUACUGGUUUUCUUGAGUGAGGGAGAGGUAGGCGGAAUGCGUGGUGUAGCGGUGAAAUGCAUAGAUAUCACGAAGAACUCCGAUUGCGAAGGCAGCAUACCGGAGUGCAACUGACGCUGAUGCACGAAAGUGUGGGUAGUGAACAGGAUUAGAUACCCUUGUAGUC